AUUGAACGCUGGCGGCAGGCCUAACACAUGCAAGUCGAGCGGAAACGAUCCUAGCUUGCUAGGAGGCGUCGAGCGGCGGACGGGUGAGUAACGCGUGGGAAUCUACCGAGUAGUGGGGGACAACUUAGGGAAACUUAAGCUAAUACCGCAUACGCCCUACGGGGGAAAGAGGGGGAUCUUCGGACCUCUUGCUAUUCGAUGAGCCCGCGUCAGAUUAGCUAGUUGGUGGGGUAAAGGCCUACCAAGGCGACGAUCUGUAGCUGGUCUGAGAGGAUGAUCAGCCACACUGGGACUGAGACACGGCCCAG
rnacentral:rRNA from 1 species